AAAUGUUUGUUUUUCCAAUUGUUUUCACUUUUUGCUUUUUGCAUGAAAUUGGUGAUCACAAAAAACCCUAAACAAGAACAAAAGCAAUCUUUUCAUCUGCAUAAUGAUUGCCUUGUUUGAUUUCUAAAAAGCUUUUCAUAUCCAAAAUCAUUAUGCAGGUUGAUUUAUAAACCCAUUGAACAUAAUGAUCCAACGCCAUCUCCCAAUUUUGAAUUCCCU
rnacentral:lncRNA from 1 species